UAGGGAAUCUUCGGCAAUGGACGAAAGUCUGACCGAGCAACGCCGCGUGAGUGAAGAAGGUUUUCGGAUCGUAAAACUCUGUUGUUAGAGAAGAACAAGGACGUUAGUAACUGAACGUCCCCUGACGGUAUCUAACCAGAAAGCCCCCGCUAACUACGUGCCAGCAGCCGCGGUUAUACGUUGGUGGCAAGCGUUGUCCGGAUUUAUUGGGCGUAAAGCGAGCGCAGGCGGUUUCUUAAGUCGGAUGUGAAAGCCCCCGGCUCAACCGGGGAGGGUCAUUGGAAACUGGGAGACUUGAGUGCAGAAGAGGAGAGUGGAAUUCCGUGUGUAGGGGUGAAAUGCGUAGAUAUAUGGAGGAACACCAGUGGCGAAGGGGGCUCUCUGGUCUGUAACUGACGCUGAGGCUCGAAAGCGUGGGGAGCAAACAGG
rnacentral:rRNA from 1 species